UACGUAGGGUGCAAGCGUUAAUCGGAAUUACUGGGCGUAAAGCGUGCGCAGGCGGUUGUGCAAGACGGAUGUGAAAUCCCCGGGCUCAACCUGGGAAUUGCAUUUGUGACUGCACGGCUAGAGUGUGUCAGAGGGGGGUAGAAUUCCACGUGUAGCAGUGAAAUGCGUAGAGAUGUGGAGGAAUACCGAUGGCGAAGGCAGCCCCCUGGGAUAACACUGACGCUCAUGCACGAAAGCGUGGGGAGCAAACAGG
rnacentral:rRNA from 1 species